GUACUGUACUGGUACACCAGCUCAAUAUUUACUUUUGGAUUGUUGUUGAAUGGGAUCCUAGCCAUUUGCUAGCUGAAAAUGGACUGCAUUACUCGUUAAAUGAUUGAUAAAACUUCCUCUUUAAAUGACUAUAAAACAUCCUGUCAUAUAUUGGGAGUGUUAUUACUGCUAUUCAUUGCUUGCAUUUCUAUGCAUCAGUAGUCAAAGAUCAGACUAAUUCAGGGCAUUUUUAACUAUUAAUUAUUAAUUUUAUGUAUGGAAGCUGAUGAGUGAUACCAUGAUUGAUGUACUUGUAGGUAACUCUGCCAACCAAGCAAUAGAAUUACUCAUACAGAAAGGAGUUCCAGAAUCCCGGAUUAUAUUCCUAAACCUAAUUUCUGCUCCUGAGGGUAUCGAUUGUGUUUGCAAAAGAUUCCCAUCCUUGAAAAUUGUCACUUCAGAGAUCGAUGUUGCGUUAAAUGAAGAAUUCCAAGUCAUACCAGGUAUGGGUGAGUUCGGCGAUCGAUACUUCGGCACUGAUGAAUAACCAGCAAUAAGGUAAGCAUAGAUAAUGACCAAUUAAUUAAUGUGGAACUGUAUUGGAAAACCCUAUUGUCUAAGAAAAAUGAAGAGGGGAUAAGUUGUUCUCUGAUUUAUCUUAUUUAUGGGGUCAUCUUUUUCAAUUACUAUUAAUGACUCAUGAUGAAGAUACAAGCAUAAUGAGAUGGUUUCCAAAUUA